UGCUGGGGGAACGGCCUACCUAGGCGAAGAUCAGUAGCCGACUUAUGAAGGUGAUCGGCCACAUUGGAACUGAGACACGUCCCAAACUCCUACGGGAGGCAGCAGUGGGGAAUCUUGCACAAUGGGCGAAAGCCUGAUGCAGCAACGCCGCGUGCGGGACGAAGGCCUUCGGGUCGUAAACCGCUUUCAGCAGGGACGAGGCCCUCACGGUGACGGUACCUGCAGAAGAAGCCCCGGCUAACUACGUGCCAGCAGCCGCGGUAAUACGUAGGGGGCGAGCGUUAUCCGGAUUCAUUGGGCGUAAAGCGCGCGUAGGCGGCCUGUUAGGUCGGGGGUCAAAUACCGGGGCUCAACCCCGGUCCGCCCCCGAUACCGGCAGGCUUGAGUCUGGUAGGGGAAGGCGGAAUUCCCAGUGUAGCGGUGGAAUGCGCAGAUAUUGGGAAGAACACCGGCGGCGAAGGCGGCCUUCUGGGCCACGACUGACGCUGAGGCGCGAAAGCUAGGGGAGCGAACAGGAUUAGAUACCCUGGUAGUCCUAGCCGUAAACGAUGGACGGUAGGUGUUGGGG
rnacentral:rRNA from 1 species